GAUGAACGCUGGCGGCGUGCCUAAUACAUGCAAGUCGAGCGAACGGACGAGAAGCUUGCUUCUCUGAUGUUAGCGGCGGACGGGUGAGUAACACGUGGAUAACCUACCUAUAAGACUGGGAUAACUUCGGGAAACCGGAGCUAAUACCGGAUGAUAUUUUGAACCGCAUGGUUCAAAAGUGAAAGACGGUCUUGCUGUCACUUAUAGAUGGAUCCGCGCUGCAUUAGCUAGUUGGUAAGGUAACGGCUUACCAAGGCAACGAUGCAUAGCCGACCUGAGAGAGUGAUCGGCCACACUGGAACUGAGACACGGUCCAGACUCCUACGGGAGGCAGCAGUAGGGAAUCUUCCGCAAUGGGCGAAAGCCUGACGGAGCAACGCCGCGUGAGUGAUGAAGGUCUUCGGAUCGUAAAACUCUGUUAUUAGGGAAGAACAUAUGUGUAAGUAACUGUGCACAUCUUGACGGUACCUAAUCAGAAAGCCACGGCUAACUACGUGCCAGCAGCCGCGGUAAUACGUAGGUGGCAAGCGUUAUCCGGAAUUAUUGGGCGUAAAGCGCGCGUAGGCGGUUUUUUAAGUCUGAUGUGAAAGCCCACGGCUCAACCGUGGAGGGUCAUUGGAAACUGGAAAACUUGAGUGCAGAAGAGGAAAGUGGAAUUCCAUGUGUAGCGGUGAAAUGCGCAGAGAUAUGGAGGAACACCAGUGGCGAAGGCGACUUUCUGGUCUGUAACUGACGCUGAUGUGCGAAAGCGUGGGGAUCAAACAGGAUUAGAUACCCUGGUAGUCCACGCCGUAAACGAUGAGUGCUAAGUGUUAGGGGGUUUCCGCCCCUUAGUGCUGCAGCUAACGCAUUAAGCACUCCGCCUGGGGAGUACGACCGCAAGGUUGAAACUCAAAGGAAUUGACGGGGACCCGCACAAGCGGUGGAGCAUGUGGUUUAAUUCGAAGCAACGCGAAGAACCUUACCAAAUCUUGACAUCCUUUGACAACUCUAGAGAUAGAGCCUUCCCCUUCGGGGGACAAAGUGACAGGUGGUGCAUGGUUGUCGUCAGCUCGUGUCGUGAGAUGUUGGGUUAAGUCCCGCAACGAGCGCAACCCUUAAGCUUAGUUGCCAUCAUUAAGUUGGGCACUCUAAGUUGACUGCCGGUGACAAACCGGAGGAAGGUGGGGAUGACGUCAAAUCAUCAUGCCCCUUAUGAUUUGGGCUACACACGUGCUACAAUGGACAAUACAAAGGGCAGCGAAACCGCGAGGUCAAGCAAAUCCCAUAAAGUUGUUCUCAGUUCGGAUUGUAGUCUGCAACUCGACUACAUGAAGCUGGAAUCGCUAGUAAUCGUAGAUCAGCAUGCUACGGUGAAUACGUUCCCGGGUCU
rnacentral:rRNA from 1 species